GCUAAACCUCAAGCCCACCUAACUCCACAAAACAAGACCAUACAUAACAAACCAUUUGCCACGAUUAGUAGAAGCGAUCAAACCCCACCAACGGCGCAAUAGAAACAGUACCGCAAGGGAAACAUGAAAAAACAAUGAAACAUCAAGCAAAACAAAGCAAAGAUUAACCCCUGUACCUAUUGCAUCAUGGUCUAACAAGAACCAUGCAGACAAGAUGACCCAAAGCCUGCACUCCCGAAACCAAGUGAGCUACCCAAAGACCGCCGAAAGGGCCAACCCGUCUCUGUAGCAAAAGAGUGGGAAGAUCUUCGGGUAGAGGUGAAAAGCCUACCGAACUUGCUGAUAGCUGGUUACCUAAUAAAUGAAUUUUAGUUCUACUUUAGACUCCAAACCACCCCCACUAGUGACCAAUUAGUCUAAAAUGUAUUCAAUGAGGGUACAGCUUCAUUGAAACAGGAUUCAACCUGAACUAGAGAGAUACAGACCAACACCACUUACAGUAGGCCUUAAAGCAGCCACCAAUAGACACAGCGUCACAGCACCCAAAACAAAAAUCCCACAAAUACCAUCAAUCUCCUAAUUCCCAUUAGGUCACUCUAUAUCCCUAUAGAGGAAACUCUGCUAGAACAAGUAACAAGAAACCUUCUCUUAGCAUAACUGUAAAUCAGUAACAGAAAAACUACUGAAAAUUAACAACACAAUACAAUAAAUACCCACAGUAUUACACCAACUGUUAACCCGACACAGGAAUGCAACAAAGAAAGAUUAAAAAUUGAAGAAGGAACUCGGCAACAUUAGUCCCAACUGUUUACCAAAAACAUAGCCUUUAGCCAUCCAAGUAUUAAAGGUAACGCCUGCCCAGUGAAGUAUUCAACGGCCGCGGUAUCCUAACCGUGCAAAGGUAGCGUAAUCACUUGUCUUCUAAAUAGAGACCUGUAUGAACGGCUAAAUGAGGACUAAACUGUCUCCUUUAACUAAUCAGUGAAACUGAUCUACCAGUACAAAAGCUGGUAUACACACAUAAGACGAGAAGACCCUGUGGAGCUUUAAACCAAGAGCCAAACAAGACUACCAUUCCUAGUCCAUGACUAACAGUUUUAAGUUGGGGCGACUUCGGAACAAAACCAAACUUCCGAGCAUACAGAAAAUUAAUCUAACCAAGGCCAACAAGCCAAAGAACAAUUGACCCAGUAAUACUGAUCAUCGAACCAAGUUACCCCAGGGAUAACAGCGCUAUCUUCUUUAAGAGUCCAUAUCGACGAGAAGGUUUACGACCUCGAUGUUGGAUCAGGACACCCAAAUGGUGCAGCCGCUAUUAAAGGUUCGUUUGUUCAACGAUUAACAGUCCUACGUGAUCUGAGUUCAGACCGGAGCAAUCCAGGUCGGUUUCUAUCUAUUCAGUAGCUCUCUUCAGUACGAAAGGACCAAGAAAGCAGGACCAAUACUAAUAGCACGUCCUAUAAACUCAGGCUGUAUCCAACUAAAGCCUAAUACACAACCAAACCCACGAGAUCAGUGGGUUA
rnacentral:rRNA from 1 species